rnacentral:tRNA from 1 species
GGGCCGUUAGCUCAGUUGGUAGAGCAGCUGACUCUUAAUCAGUAGGUCCGGGGUUCGAGUCCCUGACGGCCCA